GAAAUGCGAUAAGUAAUGUGAAUUGCAGAAUUCAGUGAAUCAUCGAAUCUUUGAACGCACAUUGCGCCCGCCAGUAUUCUGGCGGGCAUGCCUGUUCGAGCGUCAUUUCAACCAUCAAGCCCCCGGCUUGUGUUGGGGACCUGCGGCUGCCGCAGGCCCUGAAAAGCAGUGGCGGGCUCGCUGUCACACCGAGCGUAGUAGCAUACAUCUCGCUCAGGGCGUGCUGCGGGUUCCGGCCGUUAAAAGCCUUCAAUACCCAAGGUUGACCUCGGAUCAGGUAGGAAAACCCGCUGAACUUAAGC
rnacentral:misc_RNA from 1 species